AAAAAUUGCACAAAUUCCGAUGUUUUUUUUUAAUAAUCCUCACGGAUCCCAAGAAACAUAACUAAAUCCUCUAAAGUACCAACCAACUGGUAUUUCAUUUCAAAUUGAGUUUAGCUCUCUGAUUGAGUUUAGCUCUCUGAGGAAAAAUUUGAUCUUGAUUGUGAUUCUGGGUUACAAAUUGAAAAAAGGGCUGAUUUCUUUUUGCAUUUUUUGAGCUUUGGAAAAUGUUGGGUUUCUACAAAUGAUUGCGGG
rnacentral:misc_RNA from 1 species